AUGGCAGAGCUUUAUCAGUGUUCUAGGUGUGCUGAAGAGGUGUGUUAUGCUGUUGCUGGGUGGAUUGUUCUACAAAGAUCAGCUGGGUCAAGUUGGUUAAGGUUGUUGUUCAAGAUUUCAGCUCAACUCGCAGAAACAGAGCAGUGGCUGGUGAGGUCCCCUGCCUCUGAGCCACUGGAAGAAGUAUGUCUCCCCAACUUUGAGUUCCAUCUGUCCUUAUCCCCAGAGGAGUUGCUGAAAAGUGGAGUGAAUCAGUAGGUUAUGCAAGAGGUACUGUCCAUCAGACAUCUUCCUGCACAACUUAGAGCAUUUCAGAAUGCCUUCCGAGCUCCGGGACCCCUGGCUAUGCUGGAGCACUUUGAUACUAUCUGCAGCAUUUUACAUCACUUUGGAAGUAUAGAUCCUGACCUCAAGGAAGAUACUUUGGAAUUCCUGAUAAAACUCUUGCAAUCCUUUGAGACCAUGACUAGCCAGACAAGCCUCGCAGACCUGGACCUAGGUGGGAAGGGUAAGAAAGCCCAGACCAAGGCAGCUCAUGGCUCUGACUGGGAAGAAGAGAGACAACCAAUUCUUCAGCUUCUAACACAGUUACUCCAGUUGGACAUUCGCCACCUGUGGAACCACUCAGUAAUUGAAGAGGAAUUUGUCAGUUUGGUAACUGGCUGUUGCUACCGCCUUUUGGAGAAUCCCACCUUAGUCACCAGAAGAACCGCCCUAUCCAGGAAGCCAUAACACACCUACUUGUUGUGGCCUUGAUGCGUUAUAACCAUAUGCUCAGUGCCACUGUGAAGAACAUCCAGAUGCUGCAGCACUUUGAACACCUGGCACCUGUACUGGUGGCAGCUGUGAGUCUGAGGGCAACUGAUUAUGGAAUGAAGAGCACAGUGGGAGAGAUUGUAAGAGAGAUCGGACAGAAGUUUCCCUAGGAGCUGAGUCAGGACCCUUCUGGGGCAAAAGGCUUUGCAGCCUUCCCGACAGAACUAGCAGAAUGUGCCCCAGCUAUCCUGACGUCCAGGAUGUGCAUUUUGAUCACAGAUUUUAGAUCAUCUGGAUGGAGAGAAUUACAUGAUGUGCAAUGCUGUGCAGGCAGCCAUGGCAGAGAUGGUGCUGCAGGUUCUGAAUGGUGAUCAACUGGAGGAAGCAGCCCGAGGCACAAGAGACCAGUUCCUGGAUACCUUACAAGGCCAUGGCCAUGAUGUCAUCUCCUUUGUGGGAAGCCGUGUUUUGCAGCUCUUCAUCCAGAUUGUCCAGCAGAAGGCUCUCCUCCUGAUGCGCUUCCAGGCAGUGGUGGUGUUAGCAGUGGGAUGCCUGGCAGACAAGUCAGUGUUAGUAUGUAAAAAUGCCAUCCAGCUGCUGGCCAGUUUUCUAGCCAAUAAUCCUUUUUCCUGCAAGUUUAGUGAUACCGACCUUGCUGGACCACUGCAGAAGGAGACCCAGAAACUACAAGAGAUGUGGGCACACAGGAGGUGAACUGCAGCUGCAUCUUCAGUGCUGGACCCAGAAAAGGAGUGGGAGCCAUGCUGCCGGAAUUAAAGUCUACCUGCAGCAGCUUCUAAAGCUUCCCCAGGAAGAAGAGGAAAUUAAUGAGCAAAUUACUAAUACAGAGAAUCCUGAAGCGGUGAAAGGACGCAUCCAUCCACCGCUUGACAAAGUUAGUUACAAGCAGGCCAUUAUUCUCACAUGAGAAGCAACAAACCACUUCCAGGAGUCUGAACCCUUCAGUCAUAUAGACCCAGAGGAGUCAGAAGAGACCAGGUUCCUGAAUCUGUUAGGAAUUGUUUUCAAAGACCAAGCAGCUUCCACACAAGAGAAGACUAGGUCUGCAGAGAACAUGGUUUCAGGGCAAACUGUCUGUAAAGACAAGUCCAAUAUGUCAGAACCUGAAAUCCAGAGAAAACGAUGAACUGGUGAAGCAAGAGAUGUUGGUGCAAUAUCUGCAGGAUGCCUACAACUUCUCUCAGAAGAUUACCAUGGCCAGUGCCAUCAUCAGCAAGAUGAUGCAUGAAAACACAACUACAACACAACUACAGUGGUAUAGGAAGUGAUUGAAUUCUUUGUGAUGGUGUUCCAAUUUGGGGUACCCCAGGCCCUAUUUGGGGUAAGAUGAAUGCUGCCUCUUAUCUGGGCUAAGGAGCCUUGUGUCCGGGAAGCUGUGCUUAAUGCCUAUUGCCAACUCUACCUCAACCCCCAAGGGACUUUGGCAGAGCCAAGACCCAGGCUUUGAUUCAGAAUCUCUCUUUGCUGCUGAUGCCUCAGCUGGGAUCAUUCAGUGUCUUGAGGAAAUUAUCUGUGAGUUUGUGCAGAAGGGUGAACUGAAACCAGAGGUAACCCAACUGUUAUGGGAACAGGCCACCAUAAAAGUCCCCUGCUCUUCCUCUGUCAUGCUUCUUGGCAUGAUGGCAUGAAGAAAACCAGAAAUUGUGGGAAGUAACUUGGACACACUGGAGAGCAUAGAGUUGGAUGAGAAGUGUCCACAGGACUAGGACGGCCCAUUGCCAACAUCUCUGUCAGGAGAAAGCCUUCUUUGGGCAAACAUCACCCUCCCUUCUGGUUGCCUCAGGAACACAGGUUGUUUGAGUGACUACGGGAGACAGUCACAAAAGGUUUUAUCCACCCUGACCCACUCUGGAUCCCAUUCAAAGAAGUGGCAGUGACCCUCACAUACCAACUGGCAGAGGGCCCUGAGGUGCUCUGUGCCCAGAUAUUGCAUAGCUGUGCAAAGCAGGCCUUGGAGAAGCUGGGGGAGAAGAGCAUGACCUAAGAGGACCCAGAGGAGACCCCCACUAUGCUCCCCACUUUUCUGCUCAUGAACUUGCUGUCCCUGGCUGGAGAUGUGACUCUGCAGCAGCUGGUACAUUGGAACAGGCAGUGAGUGGAGAGCUCUGUUGGUGCUGAGUUCUUCAGGAAGAACAAGAACACAAGACUAAAGAGCCAAAGGAGAAGACUCCAAGCUCUGAGACCACCAUGGAGGAGGAGCUGGGACUAGUUGGGGUGACUGCUGAUGACAUGGAGGCAGAACUGAUGCGCUGUAUCUGCGAGAUGGAACUAUUGGAUGGCAAACAGACACUUGCUGCCUUCGUUCCACUUUUGCUUAAAGUCUGUAACAAUCUCAGCCUCCAUAGCAACCCGGACCUCUCUGCAGCUGCUUCACUUGCUCUUGGCAAGUUCUGCAUGAUCAUUGUUACCAUCUGGGACUUGCAACUUCAUCUUCUGUUCACCACGCUAGAAAAUUCUUCACUCCCCACUGUCCGGUCUAACCUCAUGGUUGCCACUGGGGAUAUGGCCAUUCGCUUCCCCUGGACACCUCAUCUAUUUGCUUGCCUCCGGGACCCAGCUCCACAAGUGCAGAAAACAUCAGGGCUGGUGAUGACCCACCUCAUUCUUAAGGACACAGUGAAAGUGAAGGGGCAAGUGAGCAGGAUGGUGGUGCUGCUCAUUGACCCCGAGCCUCAGAUUGCUGCCCUGGCCAAGAACUUCUUCAGUGAGCUUUCCCACAAGGGCAACGCAAUCUAUAAUCUCCUUCCAGAUACCAUUAGCCGCCUGUCAGACCCUGAGUGGGGAGUGGAGGAAGAGCCUUUCCACACUAUCAUGAGGCAGCUCCUGUCCUAUAUCACCAAGGACAAGCAGACAGAGAGCUUGGUGCAAAAGCUGUGUCAGUGGCUCCGCACAGCCGGAACUGAGUGGCAGCCCUGGGACCUGGCCUACUGUGUGUCACAGCUGCCCCUUACAGAGCGAGGCCUCAGCAAAAUGCUUGACAGUUUUUUGACAGUUUUGACUGCUUUGGAGAUAAACUGUCAGAUGAAUCCAUCUUCAGUGCCGUUUUGUCAGUUGCCAGCAAGCUGUGGCGUGGGGCCACACCUGAGGGCGAGGCUAUAAUAGAUGAGUUUGAGCAGAAGCUUCGGGCUUGUCACACUAGAGGGUUGGAUGGAGUAGAGGAGCUUGAGGCUGGCCAAGGACUUAGCUAGAGAGCCCCCAUCAGCCAGGAAACAACCCACUGUCUCUAGGCACCAGCCUCUUGCUUCUGCAGCUUCAGACAGUGACUUUGUCACACCUGAGCCCCGCCGUACUACCUGUUGGCACCCAAACACCCAGGAGGGAGUUGCCAAAAAGAAAUCCAAAGUUGUCUUCUCAAGUGAUGAGUCCAGUGAGGAAGAGCUCUCAGCAGAGAUGACUGAAAAUGAGACACCAAAGAAAAUGACCCCCAUUUGCAGAGCCUUCUCUCGAAGGCACAGAUCCUAG